GGGGACGUAGCUCAGCUGGGAGAGCACCUGCUUUGCAAGCAGGGGGUCGCCGGUUCGAGUCCGGUCGUCUCCACCA
rnacentral:tRNA from 1 species